UCAACGAGAACAGAAAUCUCGUG
rnacentral:sRNA from 1 species